AUACGUAGGUGACAAGCGUUAUCCGGAUUUACUGGGCGUAAAGGGCGUGUAGGCGGUCUUGCAAGUCAGAAGUGAAAUUCCUGAGCUCAACUCGGGCGCUGCUUCUGAAACUGCAGGACUUGAGUGCUGGAGGGGAUAGCGGAAUUCCUAGUGGAGCGGUAAAAUGCGCAGAUAUUAGGAAGAACACCGGUAGCGAAGGCGGCUAUCUGGACAGUAACGGACGCUGAGGCGCGAAAGCGUGGGGAGCAAACGGGAUGAGAUACCCGGGUAGUCCACGCCGUAAACGAUGAAUACUAGGUGUAGGGGGUAUCGACUCCCUCUGUGCCGCAGUUAACACAAUAAGUAUUCCGCCUGGGGAGUACGGCCGCAAGGUUGAAACUCAAAGGAAUUGACGGGG
rnacentral:rRNA from 1 species